AGCGAACGCUGGCGGCAGGCUUAACACAUGCAAGUCGAGCGGGCAUCCUUGUGGUGCCAGCGGCAGACGGGUGAGUAACGCGUGGGAACGUGCCCUUCGGUUCGGAAUAACUCAGGGAAACUUGAGCUAAUACCGGAUACGUGCGAGAGCAGAAAGGUUUAUCUGCCGAAGGAUCGGCCCGCGUCUGAUUAGCUAGUUGGUGAGGUUACGGCUCACCAAGGCGACGAUCAGUAGCUGGUCUGAGAGGAUGAUCAGCCACACUGGGACUGAGACACGGCCCAGACUCCUACGGGAGGCAGCAGUGGGGAAUAUUGGACAAUGGGGGCAACCCUGAUCCAGCCAUGCCGCGUGAGUGAUGACGGCCUUAGGGUUGUAAAGCUCUUUUCUCCGGGACGAUAAUGACGGUACCGGAGGAAUAAGCCCCGGCUAACUUCGUG
rnacentral:rRNA from 1 species